CACGUAGGGCGCAAGCGUUGUCCGGAAUUAUUGGGCGUAAAGAGCUCGUAGGUGGUUUGUUACGUCUGCUGUGAAAACCUAGGGCUUAACCCUGGGCUUGCAGUGGAUACGGGCAGACUAGAGGUAGGUAGGGGAGAAUGGAAUUCCUGGUGUAGCGGUGAAAUGCGUAGAGAUCGGAAAGAACACCAACGGCGAAAGCACUCUGCUGGGCCGACACUGACACUGAGAGACGAAAGCUAGGAGAGCGAAUGGG
rnacentral:rRNA from 1 species